UACGAAGGGUGCAAGCGUUACUCGGAAUCACUGGGCGUAAAGCGUGCGUAGGCGGUUUCUUAAGUCUGUCGUGAAAGCCCUGGGCUCAACCUGGGAACGGCGAUGGAUACUGGGAAGCUAGAAUGUGAGAGAGGAUGGUGGAAUUCCCGGUGUAGCGGUGAAAUGCGUAGAGAUCGGGAGGAAGGCCGGUGGCGAAGGCGGCGCUCUGGAACAUUUCUGACGCUGAGGCUCGAAAGCGUGGGGAGCAAACAGG
rnacentral:rRNA from 1 species